GGGACGGGGAAAAGAUGGCGGCGGCCGUUGUACAGAUGUCAUGUUUGUACCGCGGGAUGUUGGCGGUGAGAGCCACUGGAAUCCGACCGCUGAUUCUACUGUAACAUCAGGUCAAAACCUCAAGAAUAUAAAGCCCGGCUGGAGAAGCGCAGUGAAGUGAAGACAGAGCCGCUGGGACAGUGCAGACAAGCGGAGUUCGUCAAGUAACGUUACAUGGAGAGAGCUGGUAGCAGGACCUGGGGGCUUCACCAAAGAUAAGACAUUAGGGUCUAUUCUCAACCUUGAUAUGGUUCAGGAGAAAUCUGGAUCUGAAAUUGCAGAGCUAUGGAUGCAGUACUUCUCAAAGAAAGACACAAUCAGUGCCGACAUCCCAGGUUCAACCUUUGACAUUAUUUUUGGUGUCAUACCAUCAACAUAACCCUGCAAAAUGCUAAAUGUCCACUUGGUGGCAGUAGAUACUUUCAAGAGUGGCCUUCAUGAGUCCAAUCAUGAGGAGUUUGUCUUAUGAAUAUCCUGAUCAUAGGCUAUCUGUGGCCUCUGAUGUUCUGUAAAACUUACCAAUAAGGUUGGGAACCAAGAAAAAUACAGAAAAAUGUGACAUUAGCAGUUGUAAUGUGUGUGUUCUUCGUAAUUUAUUCAGUAGCUCCAUAAUACUUCUAAUGAAUCUAAAAUGUGAAACAGACAGUGGUUCGAUUGCCGAAUGAAUCCGUUCAAUAAGUCGGUUCUUUUUAGUGAAAACAUACAGCACAACUUGUGUAGUUCAAUUUCUCUCGUUUGAUUCCGUUUACUCUCUUGAGGCAGUCAUUUUUAGUGAAUCAAGCACAUGAAGAUGGUUCUUUUUAUAGUGAAUAAAUUGACUAAGGCCCAAUUCCUGAAUGAAUCACUUUAAUGAAUCAAAUACACAGCGCAACCAGCAUAGUCCAAUUCCUGAAUGAGUGACUCUAAUGAGCCGACUCUUUUUAAAGAAUUAAACUUAUAGCACAACCAGCGUAGUCUGAUUUCAUAAUGAAUCACUUUCAUGAGACAGGGUCUUUUUUAUUGAAUCAAACACAUAGCGCAACCAGUGUAGUUUGAU